rnacentral:tRNA from 1 species
GUAUCCAUGGCUGAAAGGUUAAAGCACCCAACUCAUAAUUGGAAAAUUUGUGGGUUCAAUUCCUGCUGGAUACA